rnacentral:rRNA from 1 species
CCUGGUUGAUCCUGUCAGUAGUCACAUGCUCGUCUCAAAGAUUAAGCCAUGCAUGUGCAAGUAUGAAUUAAUUCAUACUGCGAAACUGCGAAUGGCUUAUAUUGAAUCAGUUAGAGUUUGUUUGAUGAUACUUGGUACUCGGAUAACCUUAGUAAUUAUAGAGCUAAUACGUACAACAAACCCCGAAUUAUAGAAGGGAUGCAUUUAUUAGAUAAAAGGUUGACGCAUGCUUUUCCCGUUUCUCAGAGGAUUCAUGAUAACUUGACGGAUCGCACGACCUUUGUGUUGGAAAUGAAUCAUUCUAAUUUUUUCCAUAUCAACUUUUGAUGGUAGGAUAGUGGACUACUAUGGUGGUGACGGGUGACGAAGAAUUAGGGUUUGAUUCCGAAGAGGAAUCAUGAUAAAUGGAUACCACAUCCAAGGAAGGAACCAGACGCGCAAAUUACCUAAUCCUAACACGAGGAUGUAGUAACAAAAAAUAACAAUACCGGGCUCUUCGAUUCUGGUAAUUAGAAUGAGUAAAUCUAAAUCCCUUAAGGAGGAUCCAUUGGAGGGAAAGUCUGGUUCCAACAGUCGCGGUAAUUCUAUCUCCAAUAGUAUAUAUUUAAGUUGUUGCAGUUAAAAAGAUCGUAGUUGGACUUUGGGUUGGGUCGUCCAGUCCUCCCUCAGGGUGUGCACUGGUCGUCCUCGUCCUUUCUACCGGUGAUGCGUUACUAACCUUAACUAGCCGAGUUGUGCCUAUGGUGCUGUUACUUUGAAUAAAUUAGAGUGCUCAAAGCAAGCCCAAACACUGGACGUAUUAUCAUGGGAUAACAUCAUAGGAUUUCAGUCAUAUUUCUUUGGCGUUCGGGAUCAGAGUAAUGAUUAACAAGGACAAUCGGGGGCAUUCAAGUUUUAUAGUCAGAGGUAAAUUCUUUGAUUUAUGAAAGACGAACAACGAAAAACUGAGAAAGCAUUUCCCAAGGAUAUUUUCAUUAAUCAAUAACUAAAGUUUGGGGAUCGAAGAUGAUCAGAUACCAUCCUAGUAUUAAUAAACGAUGCCGACCAGGGAUCGACGGAUUUUGCUAUUAGGAUUCCGCCGACACCGUAUGAGAAAUCAAAGUUUUUGGGCUCCUAAAGGAGUAUGGUCGCAAGGAUGAAAACUAAAGGAAUUUACGGAAGGGCACCAUUAGGAGUGGAACCUGCAACUUAAUUUGGAUCAACACGGGGAAACUUACCAGGUUCGGACAUAGUAAGGAUUGACAAACUGAUAGCUCUUUCUUGAUUCUAUGAGUGGUAGUUUAUGGUCGUUCUUAGUUGAUGGAAUGAUUUGUCUGGUUAAUUCAGUUAACGAACAAGAACUCAACCUGCUAACUAGCUACGGGGGAUUCCCUCUACAACCAUCUUCUUGGAGGGACUAUGGUCGUUAGGACACGUAAGUUUGAGGCAAUAACAGGUUUGUGAUUCCCUUAGAUUUUCUGGACCGCCCGCGUACUACACUGAUGUAUUCAACGAGUAAUAUAUCCUUGGUCGGCAGUCCCGGGUAAUCUUCGAAAAUUUCAUCAUAAUGGGAAUAUAUCAUUGCAAUUGUUGGGUCUUAAACGAGUAAUUCCGAGUAAGCGCGAGUCAUCAUCUCGCAUUGACUAUGUUCCUGCCCUUUGUACACACCGCCCGUCGCUCCUACCGAUUGAAUGGUCUAUUACGAGACUUCUUUCUUGUAGAAUUUGUAUCUUGAAAGAUAGA